CCAAUAGCGUAUAUUAAAGUUGUUGCAGUUAAAAAGCUCGUAGUUGAAUUUCGGGGUUAGUAGGUCGGUCAUGCCUCAGGUAUGCACUGGUCUCACUGAUUCCUCCUUCCUGAUGAGCCGUAAUGCCAUUAAUUUGGUGUUGCGGGGAAUCUGGACUGUUACUUUGAAAAAAUUAGAGUGUUUAGAGCAGGCUAACGCUUGAAUACAUUAGCAUGGAAUAAUGGAAUAGGACGUUCGAUCCUAUUUUGUUGGUUUCUAGGAUUGACGUAAUGAUUAAUAGGGAUAGUUGGGGGCAUUAGUAUUCAAUUGUCAGAGGUGAAAUUCUUGGAUUUAUUGAAGACUAACUACUGCGAAAGCAUUUGCCAAGGAUGUUUUCAUUAAUCAAGAACGAAAGUUAGGGGAUCGAAGACGAUCAGAUACCGUCGUAGUCUUAACCAUAAACUAUGCCGACUAGGGAUCGGAUGAUGUUAAUUUUUUAAUGACUCAUUCGGCGCCUUACG
rnacentral:rRNA from 1 species